rnacentral:rRNA from 1 species
AUUGAACGCUGGCGGCAGGCUUAACACAUGCAAGUCGAGCGGGGGAAGGUAGCUUGCUACCGGACCUAGCGGCGGACGGGUGAGUAAUGCUUAGGAAUCUGCCUAUUAGUGGGGGACAACAUCUCGAAAGGGAUGCUAAUACCGCAUACGUCCUACGGGAGAAAGCAGGGGAUCUUCGGACCUUGCGCUAAUAGAUGAGCCUAAGUCGGAUUAGCUAGUUGGUGGGGUAAAGGCAUACCAAGGCGACGAUCUGUAGCGGGGCUGGGAGGAUGAUCCGCCAGACUGGGACUGGGACACUGCCCAGAGUCCUACGGGAGGCAGCAGUGGGGAAUAUUGGACAAUGGGGGGAACCCUGAUCCAGCCAUGCCGCGUGUGUGAAGAAGGCCUUAUGGUUGUAAAGCACUUUAAGCGAGGAGGAGGCUACUCUAGUUAAUACCUAGGGAUAGUGGACGUUACUCGCAGAAUAAGCACCGGCUAACUCUGUGCCAGCCGCCGCCGUAA